rnacentral:rRNA from 1 species
GAAUCUGCCCUCCACUUUGGGAUAACACCGCGGAAACCGGUGCUAAUACCGAAUAUUGAAACAUAAGUGGCAUCACUGAGUUUUGAAAGAAUUUCGGUGGAGGAUGACUUCGCGGCCUAUCAGCUAGUUGGUGAGGUAAUGGCUCACCAAGGCAACGACGGGUAGCCGGCCUGAGAGGGCGACCGGCCACACUGGGACUGAGACACGGCCCAGACUCCUACGGGAGGCAGCAGUGGGGAAUAUUGGGCAAUGGAGGAAACUCUGACCCAGCGACGCCGCGUGCGGGAUGAAGGCCUUCGGGUUGUAAACCGCUUUCAGUAGGGAAGAAGCGAAAGUGACGGUACCUAUAAAAGAAGCACCGGCUAACUAUGUGCCAGCAGCCGCGGUAAUACAUAGGGUGCAAGCGUUGUCCGGAAUUAUUGGGCGUAAAGAGCUCGUAGGUCGUUUGUUACGUCGGAUGUGAAAACCUGAGGCUCAACCUCAGGCCUGCAUUCGAUACGGGCAAACUAGAGUUUGGUAGGGGAGACUGGAAUUCCUGGUGUAGCGGUGGAAUGCGC